UACGGGGGGGGCAAGCGUUGUUCGGAAUUACUGGGCGUAAAGAGCUCGUAGGUGGUUUGUCGCGUUGUUCGUGAAAACCGGGGGCUUAACCCUCGGCGUGCGGGCGAUACGGGCAGACUUGAGUACUGCAGGGGAGACUGGAAUUCCUGGUGUAGCGGUGAAAUGCGCAGAUAUCAGGAGGAACACCGAUGGCGAAGGCAGGUCUCUGGGCCGAUACUGACGCUGAGGAGCGAAAGCGUGGGGAGCGAACAGG
rnacentral:rRNA from 1 species